GACGAACCGUGCGAACGUUGUUCGGAUUCACUGGGCUUAAAGGGCGCGUAGGCGGGUGUCCAAGUCUGGGGUGAAAUCCUUCGGCCCAACCGGAGAACAGCCUCGGAUACUGGAUGUCUCGAGGGGGGUAGGGGCACGCGGAACUUCCGGUGGAGCGGUGAAAUGCGUAGAUAUCGGAAGGAACGCCGGUGGCGAAAGCGGCGUGCUGGACCCCUUCUGACGCUGAGGCGCGAAAGCUAGGGAGCAAAGCGGG
rnacentral:rRNA from 1 species